UACGAAGGGGGCUAGCGUUGCUCGGAAUCACUGGGCGUAAAGGGUGCGUAGGCGGGUCUUUAAGUCAGGGGGGAAAUCCUGGAGCUCAACUCCAGAACUGCCUUUGAUACUGAGGAUCUUGAGUUCGGGAGAGGUGAGUGGAACUGCGAGUGUAGAGGUGAAAUUCGUAGAUAUUCGCAAGAACACCAGUGGCGAAGGCGGCUCACUGGCCCGAUACUGACGCUGAUGCACGAAAGUGUGGGGAUCAAACAGG
rnacentral:rRNA from 1 species